GACUGACGCUCUAGGUGCGAAAACGUGGGGGAGCAAACACGAUUUUGAUAUCCUGGGUCGUUCACGCCGUAAAACGAUGUCGACUUGGAGGUUUGUGCCCUUGAGGGCGUGGCCUUCGGAGCUAACGCGUUAAAUUCGACCGCCCGGGGAGUACGGGCCGCAAGGUUUAAACUCCAAAUGAAUUGACGGGGGCCCGCACAAGCGGUGGAGCAUGUGGUUUAAUUCGAUGCAACGCGCAGAACCUUACCUGGUCUUGACAUCCACAGAACUUGGCAGAGAUGCCUUGGUGCCUUCGGGAACUGUGAGACAGGUGCUGCAUGGCUGUCGUCAGCUCGUGUUGUGAAAUGUUGGGUUAAGUCCCGCAACGAGCGCAACCCUUAUCCUUUGUUGCCCAGCGGUUAGGCCGGGAACUCAAAGGAGACUGCCAGUGAUAAACUGGAGGAAGGUGGGGAGGACGUCAAGUCAUCAUGGCCCUUACGACCAGGGCUACACACGUGCUACAAUGGCGCAUACAAAGAGAAGCAAUCUCGCGAGAGCUAGCGGACCUCAUAAAAUGCGUCGUAGUCCGGAUUGGAGUCUGCAACUCGACUCCAUGAAGUCGGAAUCCCUUGUUAUCGUGAAUCAGAAUGUCACGGUGAAUACGUUCCCGGGCCUUGUUCACCCCGCCCGUCAAAGCAUGGGAGUGGGUUGC
rnacentral:rRNA from 1 species